GUACGGCGAGNNNNNGGAAGAGCUCAAAGUUGGAACCUGUUUGGCCUAGCUAAACNNNNNNNNNGNNNNUAGAAGUGUUUUCCAGGCAAGCCGAGUAAAUAAGUCCUUUGGAACAGGGCAUCAUAGAGGGUGAGAAUCCCGUCUUUGGCUUGAGCAUUUGCCUUUUGUGAUACGCUUUCAAAGAGUCAGGUUGUUUGGGAAUGCAGCCUAAAUUGGGUGGUAAAUCUCACCUAAAGCUAAAUAUUGGCGAGAAACCGAUAGCGAACAAGUACCGUGAGGGAAAGAUGAAAAGAACUUUGAAAAGAGAGUUAAACAGUAUGUGAAAUUGUUAAAAGGGAACCGUUUGGAGCCAGACUGGCUUGUCUGUAAUCAAUCUAGGCUUCGGCCUGGAUGCACUUGCAGGCUAUGCCUGCCAACGACAAUUUGACUUGAGGGAAAAAACUAGGGGAAAUGUGGCCCACUUGUGGGUGUUAUAGUCCCUUAGAAAAUACCUUGGGUUGGAUUGAGGAACGCAGCGAAUGCUUAUUGGCGAGUUUUCCAGGAAGGUUUUCUGAGGUACUACGGUAUCAAGGUUGAUCUUUUUGGUUAUACUUCUAUUCGCUUAGGUUGUUGGCUU
rnacentral:rRNA from 1 species